GACGAACGCUGGCGGCGUGCUUAACACAUGCAAGUCGAACGGAAAGGCCCUGCUUUUGUGGGGUGCUCGAGUGGCGAACGGGUGAGUAACACGUGAGUAACCUGCCCUUGACUUUGGGAUAACUUCAGGAAACUGGGGCUAAUACCGGAUAGGAGCUCCUGCUGCAUGGUGGGGGUGGGAAAGUUUCGGCGGUUGGGGAUGGACUCGCGGCUGAUCAGCUUGUUGGUGGGGUAGUGGCUUACCAAGGUUUUGACGGGUAGCCGGCCUGGGAGGGUGGCCGGCCACAUUGGUACUGAGGUACGACCCAGACUCCUACGGUAGGCAGCGGUGGGGAAUAUAGCACAAUGGGCGGAAGCCUGUUGCGGCAACGCCGCGUGCGUGAUGACGGCCUUCGGGUUGUGAACCGCUUUCGCCUGUGACGAAGCGUGAGUGACGGUAAUGGGUAAAGAAGCACCGGCUAACUACGUG
rnacentral:rRNA from 1 species